AUCCUCCAAGGCUAAAUACUCCUGAUUGACCGAUAGUGAACCAGUACCGUGAGGGAAAGGCGAAAAGAACCCCGGCGAGGGGAGUGAAAAAGAACCUGAAACCGUGUACGUACAAGCAGUAGGAGCCCCAUCACUCAAGUGCCUCGCACUGAGUGAUGCAAGAACAUCACCGAAAAUAGCGCCGAAUUUGCUAACAAGGUUGGUCGAUUUUUUCAAGCCGUCGCGCAGUGUACCUAGAAGUACACGAGCAACGGAAGUUAAAAAAUCGGGCAAGAUUGAACGCAAAGG
rnacentral:rRNA from 1 species